rnacentral:rRNA from 1 species
UACGUAGGGCGCCAAGCGUUAUCCGGAAUUAUUGGGCGUAAAGAGCUCGUAGGCGGUUUGUCGCGUCUGCUGUGAAAACCCAGGGCUCAACCCUGGGCCUGCAUUCGAUACGGGCAGACUAGAGUUCGGUAGGGGCAGACUGGAAUUCCUGGUGUAGCGGUGAAAUGCGCAGAUAUCAGGAGGAACACCGGUGGCGAAGGCGGAUCUCUGGGCCGAUACUGACGCUGAGGAGCGAAAGCGUGGGGAGCGAACAGG